rnacentral:rRNA from 1 species
UACGGAGGGGGCUAGCGUUGUUCGGAAUUACUGGGCGUAAAGCGCACGUAGGCGGAUUGGAAAGUCAGAGGUGAAAUCCCAGGGCUCAACCUUGGAACUGCCUUUGAAACUCCCAGUCUUGAGGUCGAGAGAGGUGAGUGGAAUUCCGAGUGUAGAGGUGAAAUUCGUAGAUAUUCGGAGGAACACCAGUGGCGAAGGCGGCUCACUGGCUCGAUACUGACGCUGAGGCACGAAAGCGUGGGGAGCAAACAGG